rnacentral:lncRNA from 1 species
GUUCCCCGGAUAACUUGCUGUGCAGGAGGAGCACCUCUCCCUCCCUGGCUCACUUUCCUUUCUCUCUCCUCAGCUCUCCGCAUUUGUUUUUCACAUUCUCCAAAGUAUUAUACUUUCUUCCUUUUUCAUACACCUUUGAUAUUUCUAUUUCAUCUCGGCCCUGAUACAUCCAGGUUUUUAGCUAAAAGUUUCUGUGUGCAUGUGUGUGUUUUAUUUCAUCAAGCAGAAUUUAGUCUAUGGUUUGUGUAUUUCAGAAGCUCUGUGUUUCAGCUUCUCUUCCCCUGGUACACUGAGCUCCUGCCCCAAGCUCAGGCCGCCUGUGCAUGACAGGUAUGAGGCCAGCAUUCUGUGAUUCACCUGGAAAACACAAGUCCCCACUUCUUCCUCAUUUCUGUGCCUCUCUGGAGGGAACCCUGGCAGCCCUUGCCUCAGUUUCUGGGACAAUCCAGGCAGCUCUCCAUCACUGGAGAACACCAGAUGGAAUGGAUGGAGGCAAUUUUUCAGAAAGUACUUUAAGAGCGGCUUCCUCAGUGGUCUUUCCAGCUGGAAGCAGAGCGUCCAGAAAGCACCGCAUUCUCAGCGCUGUUUCAUUGCCUCAAGAGCUACAGAUGGCUUCCCCAAGCACCUGAAGUCGAUGCUGCUUGCCUGGAUGGAAUAAGCUGCAAGCUGCAGAAACUCUUGUCUUUUCACAGUGGAACUCAGACUCCAGUUUCUUUCUGCCUUGAGAGUGAAAGAAAGGAGAAGACACAGAGUAGGAAAGAGCCAGAAGGUGGAGAAAUUAAUGUUUAAUGCUUGAUACUCCCGGGGCCUGGCCAGCUGCUCAAAAAAAGGAAGGAGGUGAUGAAGAGAGAAAGAAAGGAUGGAAGGAAGGAGGAAGUGGACAAUGAGCCCAGAGCCCUCACCUGAGUUCCAAACAUUUAAGUCAAACUGCCAACUUCAUUCUCCAUUUGGACGAUUUCUCAACAUGUACAAAACCAAGUCCUGAUUUUUCCGUGACCCCAAAUCUGUUCUAUCUGAAGCCUCCCUAUCUCAGUUACUGAUCCUGGCUGAUGGAUGUAAUGAAGGCAUGAACUAUACUAGUUGAACAAGGAAAUGAACUUGAACCAAAUUGUGAAGUUCUCUGCAGUGAAAUAUUAAAGAUUAGCAAGCUAAACAGAGAAAAAGAUAACACUCAAGAAACUGCCUAUAUGUAAGAGAUUCCUUUGAGAACUUUCAAAUGGCUCCUUUCUACAAAAGACCUGAGAAUACUUAACCCCCCACCACUAGCACACUCAAAGCUCAAGGCAAAUGCAUUUUCAAGAUUGACAGGGUCUUGGACUCUGAAAGUCUUUGGACCCAAGAAAAAUCGUGUUAUCUAAGAGAGCAGUUAUUCUGACACAGACUGAUAUCAGGUGCCUGUGGCAUGAAACACGGAAGAGAAUAAUAGCAUCUACCUUAUAAGAAGACAUACUAUAUUCUGGACCACAUAUCUGAUAAUUCUUACAGCCCUUUAAAGAUAAUCAUAACUAGAAUAUUAUCUUAUUUUGUAGCUCAUAGAUGUCAAAAGACUAGCUCAUAAUUUUAUUGCGGAUACAUAGCAGAACCAAGAUUUGAACUCAGACCUGUCUCAUUCCACAACUCAUUUUCCUUGAAGUCAAUAGAUGCCACUGAUCUCUAAAUACCUACAAAAGGGGCUCGGAGGUGGAGAGGGGAUGUCUGAGGAGCCUUAGGACUACCACCCAAUGUUCUGUCUUUAGAUAGAGAUGCUAUCACCAAUCUCUCUUUCACACAUACUCCUCCUCUUCUCAUUUCUGUUCGUGUACUUGGUUCUCAGUGUAAGAUUUUGUUAGAAGAAAGAGGCAUGUUGGUAAAAUAAGAAAUAAUAUAUCAAAAAUAAAAUAAAAUUGUUUGAAAGUCU